CUGGCUCUCUUAUAGACAACAAAUGGAGAGGGGAGAGAGAGAAUCAGAGACGUCGAGAGUUUUAAGUCUCAACUAUUACCGUUCUGAAACCUGAUCUCAUCUCUAAUUUGGUGUGCUUUUUAUAAUCUUCUCCUAGAAUUAUGCUUCGGUAAAGUGUUUUAUCAAGACUUCACCUUUUCUUUUGCCCGCUAAUCUCAUAAUGCAUAAUUUCUGUGCCUCAGAAAGUUUAUUAGGGGCAAUUAGCUCCUGGAGGCAGUAGCAGGCAGCCUCCUCAAAACAGGAGGUUGUGGUUGUAGCAUGGU
rnacentral:lncRNA from 1 species